CUUCGGGUCCCCGGCCGCCCUGUUCACCCUCGUUCAUCCUCCUUUCCGAAGCUCGCUGUCGAAGGCAGGAGCGACCGGCGCCUUUGGCUGAGGAGGAGGAGAAGGAGGAAUCGCGGCAGGCGGAGCGUCAGGUCCCGUUUUCCUCUCCGGCGUCUCGAAUACAAAGAUUACGGUGCAGAAGGAAAUUGCACUCGUCUCCUCCGCGCCCCCGGUACCCAACACAAUGCACCAGCCGCCUGAGUCCACCGCCGCGGCCGCCGCCGCUGCAGACAUUAGCGCUAGGAAGAUGGCGCACCCGGCAAUGUUCCCUCGAAGGGGCAGCGGUAGUGGCAGCGCCUCUGCUCUCAAUGCAGCAGGUACCGGCGUCGGUAGUAAUGCCACAUCUUCCGAGGAUUUUCCGCCUCCGUCGCUGCUUCAGCCGCCGCCCCCUGCAGCAUCUUCUACGUCGGGACCACAGCCUCCGCCUCCACAAAGCCUGAACCUCCUUUCGCAGGCUCAGCUGCAGGCACAGCCUCUUGCGCCAGGCGGAACUCAAAUGAAAAAGAAAAGUGGCUUCCAGAUAACUAGCGUUACUCCUGCUCAGAUCUCCGCUAGUAUCAGCUCUAACAACAGUAUAGCAGAGGACACUGAGAGCUAUGAUGAUCUGGAUGAAUCUCACACGGAAGAUCUCUCUUCUUCGGAGAUCCUUGAUGUGUCACUUUCCAGGGCUACUGACUUAGGGGAGCCCGAACGCAGCUCCUCAGAAGAGACCCUAAAUAACUUCCAGGAAGCCGAGACACCUGGGGCAGUCUCUCCCAACCAGCCCCACCUUCCUCAGCCUCAUUUGCCUCACCUUCCACAACAGAAUGUUGUGAUCAAUGGGAAUGCUCAUCCACACCACCUCCAUCACCACCAUCACAUUCAUCAUGGGCACCACCUCCAACAUGGGCACCACCAUCCAUCUCAUGUUGCUGUGGCCAGUGCAUCCAUUACUGGUGGGCCACCCUCAAGCCCAGUAUCUAGAAAACUCUCUACAACUGGAAGCUCUGACAGUAUCACACUAGUUGCACCAACUUCUGCUGUAUCAUCCAGUGGUUCACCUGCAUCUGUAAUGACUAAUGUGCGUGCUCCAAGUACUACAGGUGGAAUAGGUAUAAAUUCUGUUACUGGCACUAGUACAGUAAAUAGUGUUAACAUUACUGCUGUGGGUAGUUUUAAUCCUAAUGUGACAAGCAGCAUGCUUGGUAAUGUUAAUAUAAGUACAAGCAAUGUUCCUAGUGCUGCUGGUGUGAGUGUUGGGCCUGGAGUUACCAGUGGUGUUAAUGUGAAUAUCUUGAGUGGCAUGGGCAAUGGUACUAUUUCUUCCUCUGCUGCUGUUAGCAGUGUUCCUAAUGCAGCUGCAGGGAUGACUGGGGGAUCGGUUUCAAGUCAGCAGCAACAACCAACAGUUAACACUUCGAGGUUCAGAGUUGUGAAGUUAGAUUCUAGUUCUGAGCCCUUUAAAAAAGGUAGAUGGACUUGCACUGAGUUCUAUGAAAAAGAAAAUGCUGUACCUGCUACAGAAGGUGUGCUGAUAAAUAAAGUGGUGGAGACUGUAAAGCAAAAUCCGAUAGAAGUGACUUCUGAAAGGGAGAGCACUAGUGGGAGUUCAGUGAGCAGUAGUGUCAGCACACUGAGUCACUAUACAGAGAGUGUGGGAAGUGGAGAGAUGGGAGCCCCUACUGUGGUGGUGCAGCAGCAGCAGCAGCAACAACAACAACAGCAACAACCAGCUCUCCAAGGUGUGACCCUCCAACAGAUGGAUUUUGGUAGCACUGGUCCACAGAGUAUUCCAGCAGUUAGUAUACCGCAGAGUAUUUCUCAGUCACAGAUCUCACAAGUACAAUUACAGUCUCAAGAACUGAGCUAUCAGCAAAAGCAAGGUCUUCAGCCAGUACCUCUGCAAGCCACUAUGAGUGCUGCAACUGGUAUCCAGCCAUCGCCUGUAAAUGUGGUUGGUGUAACUUCAGCUUUAGGUCAGCAGCCUUCCAUUUCCAGUUUGGCUCAACCCCAGCUACCAUAUUCUCAGGCGGCUCCUCCAGUGCAAACUCCCCUUCCAGGGGCACCACCACCCCAACAGUUACAGUAUGGACAACAGCAACCAAUGGUUUCUACACAGAUGGCCCCAGGCCAUGUCAAAUCAGUGACUCAAAAUCCUGCUUCAGAGUAUGUACAACAGCAGCCAAUUCUUCAAACAGCAAUGUCCUCCGGACAGCCCAGUUCUGCAGGAGUAGGAGCAGGAACAACAGUGAUUCCUGUGGCUCAGCCACAGGGUAUCCAGCUGCCAGUGCAGCCCACAGCAGUCCCAGCACAACCUGCAGGGGCAUCUGUCCAGCCUGUUGGCCAGGCUCCGGCAGCAGUGUCUGCUGUACCUACUGGCAGUCAGAUUGCAAAUAUUGGUCAGCAAGCAAACAUACCUACUGCAGUGCAGCAGCCCUCUACCCAGGUUCCACCUUCAGUUAUUCAGCAGGGUGCUCCUCCAUCUUCGCAAGUGGUUCCACCUGCUCAAACUGGGAUUAUUCAUCAGGGAGUUCAAACUAGUGCUCCAAGCCUUCCUCAACAAUUGGUUAUUGCAUCCCAAAGUUCGUUGUUAACUGUGCCUCCCCAGCCACAAGGAGUAGAACCAGUAGCUCAAGGAAUUGUUUCACAGCAGUUGCCUGCAGUUAGUUCUUUGCCCUCUGCUAGUAGUAUUUCUGUUACAAGUCAGGUUAGUUCAACUGGUCCUUCUGGAAUGCCUUCUGCCCCAACAAACUUGGUUCCACCACAAAAUAUAGCACAAACCCCUGCUACCCAAAAUGGUAAUUUGGUUCAAAGUGUUAGUCAACCUCCCUUGAUAGCAACUAAUAUAAAUUUGCCUUUGGCACAACAGAUACCACUAAGUUCUACCCAGUUCUCCGCACAAUCAUUAGCUCAGGCAAUUGGAAGCCAAAUUGAAGAUGCCAGGCGUGCAGCGGAGCCCUCCUUAGGUGGCUUACCUCAGACUAUCAGUGGUGACAGUGGGGGAAUGUCAGCAGUUUCAGAUGGGAGUAGCAGCAGCCUAGCAGCCUCUGCUUCUCUUUUCCCGUUGAAGGUGCUACCGCUGACGACACCCCUGGUGGAUGGCGAGGAUGAGAGCUUUUGGUACAUUUCCAAACUGGCUGGCAGAGCCAGGAGGAAGUGAAGGCAUUAGAAACACUAACUUUGGUUGGUUGCUACCGUCUUAGUGCUGAGACUAUAACCUUUGUUGGUUGAUUGAUAGAGAACAAGAGAACACAAUCCUCGUUCCACUAACAGCUCUCUAUUUCAGUGCUUCUCUCCUACCAGAGGUGCAAGGAGUGAUCCUAGAACCACAGAUACAGCCAAGACCACGGAGAGCUUUUGACGUCAGGGGUCCACUUUCUCCACUGAACCCUUGGAGACAGAAUAUCCAGCUUCUGGAGAGAGUGGGAAAGGAUAAUAAACAAAUUUCUUUCAACUGGUAAAACAUCAUACUUCUUCAGCAAAAGGAAUUCUUCUAGCAGAGCCUUCAUGGAUGAUAUCUGUCACACAUGCCAGCACCUGCAGUUUGGAAGGCAGUGGUGAAUGGAUCCAUGCAAUAUGUCUAGAAGACACAAGGAUGAGCCAGCCACCUGAUCUUGUCAUUUAUAAACUUUUAAGAAUUACUCUGGUUUACUUUUGGUCUGAAAAUGGAAAGGCCCAAAUAAUGAAAUAAUCUUUUCAGAUUGGAAUUUUACAUGGCCAUGAAAAUAUUUCUUUCUAUUCAGAAGACUGAAAUAGAGGAAGCUUGAGAGACUCCUUUCUUUUAAAAGCGGCUCUCUGUAUCUGUUUCAUUUAAAACAUUUGUGGGAUUGAAAAUCACCUUAAUGAAGUAGGCAAACAUUUUUUUAAGUAGUAGAGGAAGUCCAGAAAACUUAAUGAAAUGGUUUUUUUUGUUGCCUGACACUGAAAGUAACUAGUAAAUAAAGGGUGAACUUCUUAAUUAUUCGAAAACUGCUUUUAAUAUUAGGAUAUACUCUUUUAGCUCAUCUUCGCUGGUCUUGAGCCUUAUUAUAAUUGUCAAAUCAACAAAGUUUCUAAUAGAGAAGUAGAAGAAAUAUCUUUUGAGAUGUAAGUAGCUUGGUCUGUCUUCUGAAGUAAUACAUACCUGUUAAACUUGAGGUAUUCUUUUCAUACUGAAGGCAUUCUAAAGUUUGGUACUGUCGCAAAACAGUAGUUUACAGAGCAGAAGCACUUAGUAUUAGAAUAAGCCUGUAGGUGUGAAGGAAUAAGUGUUGCGAAAUAGUUAUUUAUCCAAGCUGUCAAUUAAUUGAUUGAAGUAGUUAUCAAAAUGUUUCUGUUUCUUUCUUUGGUAUCUAUUAACUGGUCAGUCAAAAGCUAUUAAAGAAUGUUUUUAAAGUCACCUAAUGCUGCCAGUUUGUUAAAUUUGGUAUACAUUUUAAGAAUAGACAUUCCAGAGUUAUUAAUAUGGAAGCAGCUAAAAUGUUUUAGGAAAUCUCAAAAGUUUUAGAAGCCACAUUUGCUAAAGCAUAACCUGCACUUAGUCUUUCUUGGCUAUCUGUUUUUUUUCUCAUUAAUUAUAAAUAAAUUUUUGUUAAGUAUAGUAUUUAAAAGUAAGUUUAAAGGUUCAAUUUGAACUGAAAUUUCCCCAGAGAGCUUUGAAUUCCCAUAAGUGAUUACAGCUUUUACUCCCGACUUGUUUUUAGUAAAUGUUAAUAAGACAAUUGGUUUACAAACACAUAUAAAUUAAAAAAACAACUGUCCAUCGUUUUAGGAAGAACUGAAGGAACUAAAAAUGAGAUUUGCUUGGAAAUUAAGUUAGUUGAACUCUUUGAACCACAGUAGAAACCACUUUGUGUGGCCUGUGAGAUUAUAAGCUUUUUGUUUCAGCUUUGAAGAUGAAAAGUGAUUUAAUCUCUUAAUCUCAUGCUUUGAUUGAAUUUUAGCUCUGUUCCUUAAAAUAUGCAAAAGGAAAUGUAAGUGCAUUUCUAGUCACCUCAUGCCACUACAAGCUAUUUAUUUAAAAGUGAAACUUUUUGUAUAUUAUUGUGAACUGAUUUGUUUAUUUAAACUUUUAUUUUGGUGAAUUUACCUUUGAGUUUUUUUAUAUUUUAUGUCACAAAAUGAAGUCCUAUAUUUUUCAGUGUUUAUGAAUAUUAAUAUAAACUAUUUUUUUCUAGAAUGACUAAUUGUGUAAUAUCUGUAUUAUGUGAUAAUUUGAAAUCUAAUAAAUAUUUUCUCCGUGAAAAAAAUGCA